GACGGAGGGUGCGAGCGUUAUUCGGAAUCACUGGGCGUAAAGGGCGCGUAGGCGGCUUGGUAAGUCAGGGGUGAAAGCUCGUCGCUCAACGACAGAACGGCCUUCGAGACUGCGCGGCUUGAGAGUAGGUGAGGUGGGUGGAAUGCCACAUGUAGCGGUGAAAUGCGUAGAUAUGUGGUGGAACACCGGUUGCGAAAGCAGCUCGCUGGCCUGGUUUUGACGCUGAGGCGCGAAAGCGUGGGGAGCAAACAGG
rnacentral:rRNA from 1 species